CCCCUCUUCUCCCUCCUCCCCCUGCUCCUCCUGCUGCUCUCAGUGUCGCUCUCGCCUCGCUCACACGCAGACGCGCCAGGGCCGGAGGGGAGCGCAGAGCCGGACCAGGAGCGGCAGGGAGCCCCGCUGGCGGCUCGCUCUGUGCAUCGGGGUUUAUUUGCAUAACAAAGUUGGAGGAGGACCAGUUUUCAGAGAGAGAUGUUGGUGGGGCCAAAAACAGGCUGACUGUAAAGGCCUCUUGAAGCCAGCAAGUAGUAGUUUGAGCCAGCUGCAUGACCAACAAUUUAGCGACCAGAUCCAAAGCCCAUUGAAAAUGGAUAGGAAUCCUUCAAUCGACUUCAAUAACCUUGAAGUCUGGUUCUAGCUGAGGAAGUCACAAAAAGGAUCCCUCUGCUGGUGAGAGUCAACAGGGAGGGCUGUUGGUCAGGAACACAACAUUGGUGCCCAGAAGACAACCACGUGUCCAGUGAUAAGUUGCUGUUUGAGCAGGAAGUUUGCAACCAGUUUGCAGAGUUGAGUUUGAGGCAGUACUUUGGGUCAGUUUUUAUUGUGUUUCUGCACACUGGGGUCCUAGGUGCUACAGUAAUUCAGAUAAUAAUCUGAAUAUUGAAAAGCCAGAAAAGCACCACCUCAGUAUUCAAGCUGCCAUGGGUCUCUAGGUACUUGGACACUCCCCAUCCUAGAAUUAUCCGAGUGUCAGAAGGCAGCCCAGGGAAGUGGCCUGGUAAAUAAAGCUCAUGCAGGAGCUCUGUCUGCAAGGAAAAUCCCAGUCAAAGUAAUGGGACUUGAAAGGCUCUUUUGCUUUAAAGGACAAUUGCCUUUUAGAAGGGUAGAUUGCUGUUCUGCAUGGAUAAGGCAGUUGUGAAAGUACUGACGUCUAUCUCUUGCUAGCCAACAAGGGCCAUGACUAACUGUUAGCAAGUAGGUCAAGGAGAAUGCUAGCAUUUGGAGCAAGCCACUGGCAAGGUUGGCCCAUGUUUCAAGUGGGUAGCCCUACAGCUGAUUACGAAUACCAUUUUUUCCAUUUGAUCUAGUCAGACUCAACGAGGGGCUGGCCAGGAGGCAGGAAAAAUCAAAGUCCACUGGGCCCCAGGAAAUUAGCAAACCAGAAUGAGAAGAUGGGUUUGCACCAGUUCCCAGGAUACUAUCUGCAUUUGGCUGGAGGUCAGUGUGAGGUAUCCCAUGUGGACAUAACAUGAAAGUCAUCAGGAGAAUAGCUAUCCAAGGCAUGUAUCCAGACACUAGUGCACACAGCACUACAUUGUUUUCACAAAUGAGAUUUUGACCCUUAGCCAGCAUAAGUGACAGAUCUCCAAAGAGUAGGACCAUCAGAGACUCUGUGAUUCAGACUUUAUAUAUUGUAAAUAAAGGGACUGACUAUCAUCUGGGACAUUAGUGAACUGCCAGGGGCUGAAACAGUCCUUAGGGCUUGGCUACACUUGCAGAUGUGCAGCGCUGGGAGUUACAGCUGUGUUCGUACAGCUGUGUAGGGAAAGCGCUGUUUUAAAACAGUUGAGUCAGGACAAGUUUUGUUCCCUUUUACUUAGUAGUUUCUUUUUUACUAAGGAGAAGUAACUGUUCAAAGUUUAGUUUGCUAUUUACAUUUUAGUUUUUUAUUCAUCCUGUUGCUUGGCUUUUGAUUCUGUAUGAAUACAUGUAAAUAAAAAGUACAUUAGUUAUUUUCCUCUAAAAUUUGAGCAGCUUUAUCAUUUAAUUAGUAGACAGAAUAAGUUACCAAAGUAACAUUAUCAGAUAAUGCAAAGCAGCAAUUUGUUUUCUACAAAGAGAAAGUGGUCUUAUACUCCUUUCACUUUCUGGACAAAGCAAGAACAUUUUUAUUGGUGGCAGGGAGAAAAAAACUGUACUUUGACAGGUGAGAUCACAGAAGUCAGGAUAUUACCCAUUCAUUUCACCUUGUAAUCUCCACUUUACUAAACUAACAAAUCUAAUUUUUCUAACUUCCUAGGAGUUAACCUCUGGGCCCCUUAUUAUCCACAUUGCUUUCUCUGUCCUUUUUCAAUUUGUCCCCUCCAAUGUUAUCACAAUGGACUAUAUUCUUAAUAGGACCUGAUCCUACAAACUACCAGGCACAACAUAUACUGCUGCAAAUGAAUAUACACCAGGUAAAGCGUUUGCUGGAAAGGUCCAUAAUUGUGGCUCCCAUUGUCAAAAAUGUUCAUCAGACGAUCCUUCUACCCUCCACAUAACAGCGGCAUAGGAAUAAAGAAAUAGUGGAGACUUACCUGCUGGAAAAAUUCAUCUCUUGUUAUUUUACAUUGAGUCUGGCAAAUCUCGUUUCCUCUCCGUUUCUUCACCUUCUAAUUAGAAGAGGGUUUUUUUAUGUUAAGUAAUAUUGAUUCCAUUAAAAUAAUUUAAACCUUCUCAAUCAUGAAGGCAGACGAGCCAUUCCUCUACUAGAAAAUACCAGUGAAAUGGUCCCACAUGAUAAAAGAAAACACCUUAAAAGGAGAAUUCAACCAGUAGGUGCCAGGAAGGGGUGCAAUCUGAAAGUAAAACAAGCCUAACAUUUCUACAGGGAGAAGAUUAAACAGCAAGUUUCUAGGAGUUUUAAAUAUUUUGCAUUGCAACUUAGUACACAAUAGGCACUGUAAGAAAAAAAUUAGGUUUUUUUUUUUGUUAUACACGUUUAUAUUGUAACACUGGAG